rnacentral:rRNA from 1 species
CAGCUCCAAUAGCGUAUAUUAAAAUUGUUGCAGUUAAAAAGCUCGUAGUUGAAUUUCUGCUGCAUUGCUUUUGCUCCUUUACGAGUCUUUGCAUUGUGGCUUAUUUCGGACUUUGUUUUACAAUGUCCGGAUGUUUACUUUGAGAAAAUUAGAGUGCUCAAAGCAGGCUUUCGCCUUGAAUAGUUUAGCAUGGAAUAAUAAAGUAGGACUUUGGUUCUAUUUUGUUGGUUUUAGGUACCAAAGUAAUGGUUAAUAGGAACAGUUGGGGGCAUUCGUAUUUAACUGUCAGAGGUGAAAUUCUUAGAUUUGUUAAAGACGAACUACUGCGAAAGCAUUUGCCAAGGAUGUUUUCAUUAAUCAAGAACGAAAGUUAGGGGAUCGAAGACGAU